rnacentral:rRNA from 3 species
UACGAAGGUCCCGAGCGUUGUUCGGAAUCACUGGGCGUAAAGGGAGCGUAGGCGGCGUGGUAAGUCAGAUGUGAAAUCCCGGGGCUCAACCCCGGAACUGCAUCCGAUACUGCCGUGCUAGAGGAUUGGAGAGGUAGCUGGAAUUCACGGUGUAGCAGUGAAAUGCGUGGAUAUCGUGAGGAACACUCGUGGCGAAAGCGAGCUACUGGACAACUCCUGACGCUGAGGCUCGAAGGCCAGGGUAGCGAAAGGG